AAGUUAGAACACCUUAAUAACAAUCUGCAAAGUCUCGACAAAAAAGCGCAGCUCUUUGUAACAAACGUUCCAUAAAUAACCGCUGGCGGUGGCAGUGUCCAAGAUGGUAUUCGACUGCGACUUUCCAAUGUACAAAUCUUUGAGGAAACAGAGGAUAUAUAAUAUAUAUUGAUGUAAUAUCAAUUAGAAUGCUUCUUUCAACGAACCAACAGUGGAUACGUUAGUCAUCCAUUGCAACAAAUCCAGUAAUUUCAACAGAUAUUCUCCUGAAUUAAAAUAGAAAUAUUCAGCAAAGAAUAGUUUAAUUACAAGUAUUCCCUCUUGCAUAUAUCGAGAAAACUCAGCAGUCAUGUUUACAUAAUAUUAUGAAACUGACAGCAAUUAAGAAAUGAACAUAUAACGUACCUCUUGUAAGUGUGUUAUAAAGAUUAUAUGAGAAUCUACUUUGAUACUGAAGGUCUGCAUAUGUAAGAAGAUGGUAACCAGCCAUGUUUGAUAAGAGGGAAAUAGCAUUACAAGCAGAGAGUGUAGCAGAGAGGAAGCUGAGAGCGGCCAACACGGCGUUUUCGGCGACACCGAUUUUUUGCACUGGGAAUGGGCGCUAUCUACACCCAUUUUGAGAGCGGAACUACGAUGCUACAUCCACUUUUAGGUCUCGACGGUAAAACCUGCAUCUGGUGGCUGUCCGUGCUACAUCCACUUUCAGGCGGUUUAUGUCCGUGCUACAACCAUGAAAGCGUACUUGACAAGCACGGU